GUCGCGCUGGUCGAGGAGAUCGGCGGUGCCGGGUUCGCUCUUCGAGGCGCCAGCGAUCUUGCCGUUGAGCGCGGCG
rnacentral:tRNA from 1 species